AUGUCUGAAAGCACAGGAGAACGUUCUUUUGCUGAUAUUAUUAUCAGUAUUUGAUACUGGGUUAUUCAUAGCAUUACUCUACCUUUCCUAUUCAUUGCGGGUUGGUUAUUUGUCAGUACGGGUAUAACUUAUGACGUGUUUUGAAGUCUUAAGCCAAACGAGUAUUUCACGGAAAGCCGACAAGGAAUUCCGGACAUGUAA
rnacentral:rRNA from 1 species